rnacentral:lncRNA from 1 species
UAUGGCUCCAUGGUUAAAGAAAGAGAUGUCUGGGAUUAUCCAACUGACAGGGUCUCUUUCAUGUUUGAAUCCCAGAUUGCACCUUUAUUAAGACUAUCUGGUGGAGUUGUGUUGGAUAUCCAUGUGAGGUUUUAAGCUGUUUUAGUUUUUAUUUGACAACAUUAUAUCAGAAAUGAACAUUAUAUCAGAAAUUAUUAUGGACUCCAGUGCACUAAAUAUACAGUAGAACUGAUCAGGUGUUAUAUUAGUAGUGAAGUAUACAUACAUACCAUUGUGUUUAUUUAACUAAGCAAGUCCGUUAAGAACAAAUUCUUAUUUACAAUGACGGUCUAGGUAACAGUGGGAUAACUGCCUUGUUCAGGGGCAGAAGGACAGAUGUUUACCUUGUCAGCUCAGAGAUUCAAUCCAGCAACUUUUCAGUUAUUGGCCCAAUGCUCUAACCACUAGGCUACAUGCCGCCCCAUUUAAUGUGUAUGUUGGGGCCUAGUCCCUCAUCCAGCGACUGUCAACACAACACCUCAGUCGUUACACCAAGAGAUAUGAAACCCUUGACAAGGUUGCUAGGUGUUGGGUUAAGGUCACUACAGUAUAAACUCAGUAUAGACCAGGUUAUGAGGUUGCUAGGUGUUGGGUUAAGGUCACUACAGUAUAAACUCAGUAUAGACCAGGUUAUGAGGUUGCUAGGUGUUGGGUUAAGGUCACUACAGUACAAACUCAGUAUAGACCAGGUUAUGAGGUUGCUAGGUGUUGGGUUAAGGUCACUACAGUAUUAACUCAGUAUAGACCAGGUUAUGAGGUUGCUAGGUGUUGGGUUAAGGUCACUACAGUAUUAACUCAGUAUAGACCAGGUUAUGAGGUUGCUAGGUGUUGGGUUAAGGUCACUACAGUAUAAACUCAGUAUAGACCAGGUUAUGAGGUUGCUAGGUGUUGGGUUAAGGUCAAUACAGUAUAAACUCAGUAUAGACCAGGUUAUGAGGUUGCUAGGUGUUGGGUUAAGGUCACUACAGUAUUAACUCAGUAUAGACCAGGUUAUGAGGUUGCUAGGUGUUGGGUUAAGGUCACUACAGUAUUAACUCAGUAUAGACCAGGUUAUGAGGUUGCUAGGUGUUGGGUUAAGGUCACUACAGUAUAAACUCAGUAUAGACCAGGUUAUGAGGUUGCUAGGUGUUGGGUUAAGGUCACUACAGUAUUAACUCAGUAUAAACCAG